ACKGCUCAGUAACACGUGGCUAACCUACCCUCAAGACAGGAACACCCCCGGGAAACUGGGGCUAAUCCCCGAUAGAUGAGAAAACCUGGAAUGGGUUUUCGCCCAAAAGUCACCGCAGUUAGGCUCUGCUACGUCUAUCGAUGAUGGGGCCGCGUCCGAUCAGGCUGUUGGUGAGGUGAUGGCUCACCAAACCUAUAACCGGUACGGGCCGUGGGAGCGGGAGCCCGGAGAUGGGAGCUGAAACGGGGCCCCACGUCCUACGGGGCGCAGGAGUUACGACUACUUGACGAUGUGCGAAAGUGUGAACGGGCUACCCCGACCGCCUGCCGAUGGGGAUGGUUUUUCGCUGUUGUAAAACGGGGGAAGAAUAAGGGGAGGGCAAUGCUGGUGUCCGCCGCCGCGGCACUACCCCCUCGACGAGUGGUAAGGAUGAUUAUUGCUAUUAAAGCGGCCGUCGCCGGACUUUCAAGCCUCUUGUUACAUCCAACUAUUCAAUCGCUGUACUGCAAGAAAUACUGUUAUGCUAAGGGGCAGAAGAAGCCGACAUUAUUUUCGGAGGAGGGAUAUCAUCCUAUAAUCCCAGGAACACCACCGGUGAAGGAUGCUUUCUACUACCACGCUGUCGACGGUGAAGGACGACUGCUGUAGGAGCGAACCGGAUUAGAUACCCGAGUAGUCUCUGCUGUAAACGAUGCUGGCUAGGUGUUGAAGCUACUACCAGCUCUUUCGCCGCCGCAAGGAAGCCAUUACUGCAGCCUGCUGAGGAGUACCGCCGCAAUGAUACUACUUGGAAGGARUUGGCGGRGGAGCAC
rnacentral:rRNA from 1 species